CACUGUAGGGGGCGGGGCAAGACGGGACGGGCCGCGCGGAGGGACAAGACUCUCCGCCUCUGACCUAAUACCAAAUGCGCAUGCCCAGCUCGGAGGCGGCGCAGCAGCACUCGGCCCCGCCCACCCUCUGCAAUGGAGGCGCUCGCCCUGCUGACGCGGGCUGUGGAGACCUCGUAUGGGAUGGUGCCCAAUCGAUGAGGAGAAACACUAACUUUGCAAAGGGUUUUUUCAGAUGUUUGCAUUAUUCUUAUUGAUCCAAGGAGUGAUAGAUGCCCUGCUAAUAAAGUUGGUAAAAGAGGAGUUACUUCAGUAACGUUCCCACCUGUUAUUUUGGAUAACUCACAUCCAUUGGCAUGGAGAAAGAAGAGUUGGAGGCAGAGAAGGAAUAAUUGGUUUAUGCUACUACACAGGCUGAAAAUUCCCACAAAUUGUAAAUUGGAAAACCAUGGAAGCCAGUGCUACAGUUUGGUGCAAGUCUCAAAUGCCUGGGAACCAGAAACCGUGAUACCAAAUUCAGAAAGAGUGUCCUAGCUCCGGUAGAAAAUCAAUUUAUUUUUCCUCCAGAGUUUUUCCAUCAAGGCCCUAAGGAUCUGGAUGGUGCCUGCCUGCCCUGGUUUCGCUGAAGGGUGAGGAGCAAAAUUCUCUUUGUUGGCAUCUGUAACCAGCAUCCCUUUUGGUUCACAUCAUGUUAUUAUUUUGAAUAUGAUCUUUGUGGUCUAGCCUAUGGAGUUAAAUGGACAUCAUGUGAAGAUACCUGCAGAAGCUGCCUGUCUACAAUUCAAGGAGAGAAACUUCAGAAGAAAUCAAGUUUGUCAACGUCGGAAAUUUGGAUUCUAUUUUCCAUCACGAUCAAGUAAUUGUAUGGCUUGAAAAAGAAAGAUUCUUCAUUUUUCGGUCCUGAUUCUUUUAGACUCCUCUUUUGGCACGUACUGGACAUCCGAGUAAAAUGGCUCCCGAUGCAACGCUUUUCUGCCUUUUUCACUUCUUACCCUAGAGAGCGGCUCAUCACUGUCUGUUUACUUCUUAAAUGGCAUCGAGAGGUAUAAAACGAACUAUUUGUCAGUUUAACAUUUGUUCGGAGCGUAAUGUCUCAUCUGGUUGACUGGGAUAAUUGAAAAUGGAAGUCAGAACGAGUUGCAAGAUUUUUCAUUUUUACAGAUUUUGAUUUAAAGAGAUUAUGUGCCCUUUCCAUAAAGUUAUUUUCUUUCCUAUGUCUGGGUUUCAUUACAUAUCAUAUAUCUUUAUUUUAAAGAUAGUUGUAGUGUCUACUCUAUAAUUACAUCAUUAGGAAUUCUUGGCAGAUCUUGCUGUGUAUGAUGAAUUGUUAUAAAAGGAAACUCUAAGUUUAUACGCUAGAUUUAUUCCUCUGUUAUUGUGUGAUUCUUUGCUUAAAUUUAAAAGUAUUAUUUCUCCAUAUUUUUGAAAUAGAACCUAUGUUAAAUAUUAUUUCCUUAGUUAGUGUUCAAGGUAGGUUUUUCUUUUUGAAAAAACUGUCUAAUAUAAAUGAGGAAAUUUAGAUUAAUUUUUUUUAUUUCUACCAAAAAUAAAAGAGUUAAAAUAUAAAUGUCUUGCCUUGUAAGUAUGUAGAACUUGGUAUUUUAGAACUUUCUAUAAUUGCAGUAAUUCAUUUUGACAUUACCUUUACAGGCAAAAUCCCAAUCUUUACUGAUAGAGAAACUUGGGAAAUUCUACUGUUAGCAAUAUAAAGAACUAACUCAAAAUGCUGGGUGCAUAAUAAAACAGUCUCUUACUUUUCACUAGGGAAGCCUUUUCAUUUAAAAAUAAAAAUGAGGAAUUUGGUUGGAAGGCCAAGAGCAAAUUUUUUUGUUUUUAUCUCUCUGUACUACUAGUAGUUAUGUAAGAUGGUAUAUAUAAGUCCAUUUUUAAAGGAGUAUUUUCUCUGUGAAAGAAACAAAGAAAAAUAAUCUUCCCUCAGAGAUAUAUGAAAAAUGUUACAUUUUUAUUGUUGACCUAAAAUAAUGCAUUCCUUAAGACAUCCUAAAUAUAACCCGAGCUCAUGUGGAAUUGUUACAUGGAUUUAUACAAUUUUAAAAUAAGAAAUUAAUUUAAUGUGGCUAAGAUGUUUUGCUGAAAUCACUAAAAUUAUUCUCUAGAAUAAUAUCAUAUUUAACCUAGACUCCUUCAUUUCUACAGUUUUAGAUUAAUUAAGCUUUAAAUUCAAAAGUAUGCAAAACACAAGCCUCAUUAGUAAAAAUCAGCAUGAACAACAGUAAAAUUAGAAAUACUGUAGAGCAUCUGUCACAGUUUCAUUUUGCUCUUUAGGAUGGAGUAGACGUAAGCAUGUUUGUAGGUUAAGAGAAGAACAGAUUUAAGAAUUAACUAGUAGAGGGCUAAUUGAUGGGAAUCCUGGAGAAGAUGUGUAGAGAGCACAUAGGGAGCAGAGGGUGAAUGGAGAAGCACCAUUUAGCCCCUGAGGAGGGAAAGCUGAUGUUAAAAUGUUAAAUUAGAGAUAGACAAGAACAUGAAAGGCUGGUGCCUGAAUUUUCUCAGUAGAAUCAGAAAUGUGAAGUGAGAGUGGGCGGUUUGGUUGGAUCUUGGUUCACAGCUUAGCUUCUUAACGGAGAGUCUGCUGAGGAAGAUGAGUAAGGAGAAGCAGAAGGGUGGCUGAUCAGUGGGGACCCAAGUUUUGAUCUGCAAUGUCCACCAUAUUCAUCUGUGAGACAAUGAGACUCUCUGUCAGUUUGGGAUGAAGGAAACCUAUCAAAUCCAUAAUUUAAACGAAGACACAUUUAGAUAAAAAACAAACAAGUAGCUGAAAUUCUUAUUUCCAAUAUUCAGAGUUUAGGAAAAAAUGGGAUUGUGUGAAAGAAUUUUGAAAGCUCUUGUUGAAGUUGAAAUGAUUAAAUAUUUAAAAGUUCUUAUAUCAGAAAGAGCAAAUACUAGCUAUCAAGAAAAUUAUAUGGAUAAACACUGAUUAAAUGAACUCUCAAUGAAUUUCUUUCCUUUAAUUGGAUUGCCAAAAAUUGUUUUCUUUCUUUAAAUGUGUACAGGAAAGUAAGAAACAAGCAAACAAAAAAAUCAACCUUAUAAGUCAAACAGAAUACUUUGAAACUGUUUGGGCCCUGUGCAUGUUGAAUUUGGAAUCCUGACUGCUGAAGAAAAGCGUAUGUAUGAAUUUUAAGUGGUUCCCUAUGUCAUCAUUUCAGUGCACUGGAAUCGUCCACUAUGCGAGGUAUUCUAAUCGUUUAUUGAUCUUCUGGAAAGCAGCAUGGCAGCUGCAGCGAGAGUCCUAUCAUGUUUCUGUCCAGAAUCACUGCUGUAUCACAGCACCUGCUGCGAAGAAAAUUAAGCAUGGAUGAGCGAUCUUUGUUGAUUUCACUCUCAGCAGGUUCCACAGAGAAAAAAAGAAAUUCUGAAAUAAGAGACAAAAUAAGGAGAAAUGAUGAGGAUCAGAAAAAAUAAAAAGUAAAAAUGAGUUGGGAAAAGUAAGCAAGGUAAGAAAAGGUCUUACAAGUUAUAAAAUUCAGGUAUGAUGAGAAGAAUUUCUGAAAACCUGUGAGGCUGUUACAUUUGGUAAGUGCUCAGAGUCAGAGGAGGUAGGAGCUGAACUGACUGCACUGCUCUUGAGGUCUCUCGCAGCUCUUCUGCAAACAGUGCCCUUCUGGAGGGUGCUACCUGUUUAGACCCCCUCGGGGAGUUUAUGAAGAGCAUUAGGUAACACAGAACCUUAUUCAACUUGGUCAUUUAGUCUGGGUUCUGAGGAUUUCAUAAGUUGCCAAUACUGUCUUUGUAUUGUUUUAUCUUCCUGGUGUCUGUUUUGAAAGACAGUAAAAAUUAGAAGGGAGUAUAUUUUAGGCCUGCCUAGAAUGUUAUUAGGCCCAAGAAAUUUGAUGAAGUUUUAUUUUUUUUUCUUACCAGAAACCAUGAACUCAUUAGCUUAACUCAACUCAAAGAAGCUGUUUUGAAGCUUUUUCAUACAAAUCACUUGAAAGCAAGUUACUUUACUCUUCACUUAUCACUUGCUUAUGGCAGAGGCCUUGGAGGAAAAAAGGGCCUGAUAAUACAUGGUAACUGAAAAUCAACAGAAGCACCAACAAAAAUAUGAUUAAAGUUUUUAAAAUUUAUGUAUGUAAUGAAGAUUGCUGAUUCUUACAACACGAUAGCAGCAUAAAUUAAAGAGGACAAUCUGAAAAAGAAGGGAAAUGAACAUCUCAGUGCUCCAGCUCUGUAUCAUAAAUCCUACAUGCUUUAUAGAGAAGCCUCUUGGAUUCCCAUCAGAUGAUUCUUACUAUAUUUUAUAUUCUACAUAUCUGAUUAUCUUUUUUCCCUGCGUAAGGGUAGUAUAUGGAAUAAGUGUAUCUAGUUAACAUGAGAAAUCCACUAGAUUGUAAGCUCCAUGAGGGCAGAGACCAUAAUUAUCUUACUCAGUUUUAGACUCCUAGUGCCCAAAAAAUGUCUGCUAUACAGUAGCAACACAUAGAAUAUUUGUUUAAUAAUUUAACAAAUGGGUGGAAAUUAAUUGGAAACCAUCAGGAAAUCUAGAUCCAAUCUGUGAAUCAGAUGUAAAACCUGAUAAAUUUCAAUUGUGGUGCUAAUGGUGUAGCCUGUUAGAGGUAAUUGUAGUGGAAAAUAUUUUGUAUUUUUCCUAAGGUCUAUCAACUCUGUCUUGAGUGACUAAAUUGUGAAAUGUUUUUGCUAAGAAUAUUGGCACUUACUUAGAUUAAAGCCCAUCACAGGCAAUCUGCAAGUUAGUAAAACUUUGCAUAAAAAAUAAAAAUAAAAAUAAAAAUAAAGUUGACUGGGGAGGUAAAUUAGAGAUUAAGCCCUUGACUCAUUUACUCAAGGCUCUGAGGUGGAUACCCAGCAUUGCAACAAACCACAAAACCACAAGCUAAAUAAAACUUCCCAGAAACCCUCAUCGGUAUUCAAAAUGCUGAUCUUCAAGUAGAAAACUAAUAUCUUUCUGUGAACUUUUUAAGCCAGAUUUACUUUUUAAGUACUCUCCAUGUUUAAAACAGCCCUCAUCAAAUGUAACCCUAAAUUAUAAUGUAUUAUACUUAAAUAUUGUCUCAACCAACAAACUGAUCAUCAAGUAAAAAAUCUGCUUCUUGGCUUACUUCAGCACCAAGGUGCUGGUGUUUCUUUGCUCUCUCCAGAGCAUUCCAGUGAUACCAAUAGUCCUCAAUACUAGAGUUUCCUUUUGCUUCUGAAGAACUGUAAUAAAUAUAAAGGCAAAAGGUGUACCUACCUACACGUUUAUAUUUUUGUGUGUAGAGUGUGUGAUUCUGUGUGUGCGUACAUGUUGUGUAUGUAUACAUGUAUGUGGUCAUGUUUCUGUGUACAUAUGCUUUGGAGAAGUCAGAACAGGCAGAACUUAGAGGGGUUUAACAAUUGAAAGAAAGGACCCAUAUCACUAGAAGAGAAUCACAUUUGUAUGCUUUCAAAUAAUACAUAAAUUACUCUGCUGUCUGUAUGACAUGAAAUCUAGACAUACAUAAAGGUCAAUGUCUUAAUUGGUUUAAUGAAUCAGAAAAUGGAAUUCAAUGAUCAUAGAAUGACUGAAAAGUAAGAACACCUGUGUUGAAAGAACUUCUAGAAGCAAAAAAGAGCCUCAGUAGAUGAAGAAUUCCCCUCAAACCCUUGACUGGUCUCUGGGAUAUCCAUGAAUGGAAAAGACAUAGAGAAACCCACUAGGAAACAACAGUUGAAAGUAUAGAGGAUAGAGAUUUCCUCAAGGUGAGGAAAGCAGGAUUUAGAGUCCUUCCAGUUCAACCCAGCUAAUGUAACACCAAACCUCUGCCAGUUCUAGGUGGUCGGCCAGUAACGCUACUGCCUGACAGGACGAAAACCAUACUUUUUAAAAGAAGAGACCAUACUUCAGUAUUUCUGUGGUGAGAGGGAUUGAACUCACGACCUUGCGCUUGCCAGGCAGGUAUUUAUGCCACUGAGCUAGAUCCCCGCUCCCAGUAAACCUAUUCUUUAUAACAGGAUGAAUUGGAAACCUUUUCAGAUAAACAAAAGGGGAGCUUAUUAUUGUCAAUUGAAAGAAGAUCAAAAGAAGUGGUAAAUUAGGAUGUUUAAGUCUGGAAGGCACAGAAAUAUCUAAAGAACAAUGAAGCAAGAGAACUGUGGCUGCACACCCAUGGUUAUUUCUUUCCUUUAUACCACCCAGCACAAAAGACUUUUGAAGAACAACCAGAAAUGAUGGCAGAAAGUUCUCUUGCAAACAGUAUACCAGUUAUUGGAAUCUGGGAAGAUCCUGGACCGAAUCAUUCCCACCAUGGGGAUCAACCUCAAGACCUUGCACUUAGCAGGCAGGUGCAUUCCCACUGGGCUCUAACUCCCUGACCUGUAGACUGGUUUUCUGAUUCAGAAGUGCUUUGUUAUGCUGUCUUACAUGACUUACAAAUCCUUUAGUCUCCUGUUUUGUUUGAAGUAGAAUGUUAAUAAAAAUGAAGUAAGUUAGACACACAAGCUUAAAUAUUGUACAGUUUCUUUUGGAGGAGAAACUUAAAAUAUAUAGUUCAAAAUAGAAGAUAGAUAAAUAGAAUAGGGAGAAGUUAAAAUACUUUCCUAAAUUACCUAUUCUGCUGAUUCAAAAAUAAUUUAAUAUAUAUGGUAAGUUGUUAUUUAUUUACUUAUUACGAUUUUCUCUUAGUUCACUGAAAAUAAAGUUAUGUGUGAUUAUCUUUCAUUUUUGUAAGAAAAUACUUGAGGAUAAUAAUACAGUGAAGUAAAUUGUUAUUCUCUUAGUAUUUUGUCAUGAAAUUUUGCUUUAUUUUUUGUAAAGUACAAAAAGAAGAAUAGGGAAUAUUGAUGAAAGAAAUUAAAAACCAUUAUUCAUAAUACAUAUAAACAACUUUAAAUUUUAACUCAGUGUGGAAUUCACAAGGAACCAGAAUUUGAUUUGCAUUCUCUUUAAAAGAACAGAACAGUCUUGAGUUUGACUGUAAGAGAAAAACUAUGAUAUUAUAGGGAGAAAACAAAUGCAGAGACUUUCCAUUACUUAUCUUUGAGGCAGAUUUCCAGAAUAAGUGUGUUAUAUUAUAUAAUUGUGAUACUUGCUCUUAAUUCAAAUCUGUAAUUGUAUUAUGGUUGUAUUUAGAAAUAUUAAUUAAAUUCUACUUUGCUAAGAACAUAGAGAUCCAAGUUUAUAUCUCACCUGUAAAUGCAUUGUGUAUUACCUAAAAGUUGAGCUACUAAAUAGGUGGGCUAUAGCAAUCAUGUCCCUUUUUGAGCACAAGUGAAAAGUGGGGUUGAAACUUGGGUUGGUGUGUGAUGAAAUGCAUGCUGACUUAUCCCUCACAGCCUCACUAGCUCCCUAGUAUUUAUUGGAGUGUAGCUAGAACAUUGCUUGAGAAUAGAAUCCUUUUGUAUGUUUUUUUUAUCUGGCACCCUCUUUUAAAUAUCAUAAAAAUAUCUCUAAUAUGUAUAUAGCACUGUUUUAUUCCAUUCUCUUUGAAGAGAUAACAAUUGUAAGUGGCCAGAUGAAUAGAAAUUUGACCAGAGGAGAAGGUAAACGCAUUCACAAAACAAAGCACACCUAGCAAGAAUUAAAGGUAGUCAUAGUUUUCAAAAGCCAUACAUCAGCAAGAGAGAUACUAAGGCUGAAAAAGAUGCGCUGAUUAUAUAGCAAAGAAAAAUACGGAAAACUUCAGUGUAUGUCAUUAUAUUUUCCUUUUUUUUUUUUGCAUCAUGAAUAGUGUUAACAAAAUAUUCUUCUUUGUGGAUUACAAAUGCUAAUUUUCUUCUUUUUCUCCAAAUCCACAUGCAAUUUCAAAUUGUGGCUAAAUAGUUUAAUUAGCUGUUUAGUCCCCAUCCUUUGCCGUGUCAUUUUUAUCCCUGAACACAAAAAUUCUUUUUCCAAAAGUGUGUUCACAUGCAGAAACAUAUACAGACACGGAAUCUGUAGAUUGUCCUCUAGAAGAUAUCUCAUGCAUUUACGGUCUGGUCACUGCUCUAAAGAAGUUUAUGAUUUAUUAAGGCUAAGUAGGGAGUCAACACUGCGGCAUGGAUGAUGAACCAGAAGACAAGCCAUUCUCAACUUGCAUAAAUUCCCAUUGUGUUCUGAAUGAGAGAUUAUUCUUCUAAAAACAAAAUUGGCCCUGUGGAAGACUAUUGGUUUAGAGAUAUUAAUUAUGAGAAGCACUAUUCAUUUCUACUUUGAAUUACUUUCACUUUUUUUUUUUUUUUUUUUUUUUUGGUACCGGUGAUUGAACUCACAACCUCAUGCUUGCCAGGCAGGUGCUUGUGCUGCUGAGCUAAACCCCCGGCCCUCUACUGUUACUUUUUUGCUUGAUUGUAUUUGCAUUAUGUGUAAAGAUAAUGCACAUUACAGAAUUUUAAAAUGACAUUUAGAAAGGAUAUCCAAAUUCCAUUUUAUUGGUCUUUCAUCAUCACUGCUGUGGUUAUCUUUAUGAAAUAACGGUCUCUAGGUGGCAGCAUUUCAAGCCUUUAAAAUAAGUGUUUUAAAAUAUAAAAGGUGAAGUGUUUUUAAGUGUGGCUAAUGAAGAAUUUGGGGGAAAUGUGGUAAGAUUGCUUAAUCCUUUGAACUUUUAUUAAUACAUAAUGGUUACAUCCCGCUUGGGGAGUUGGUUCCCACCCAAACAUAUAUAUGUAACACAUCUUAAUUCUAUUUUUCAUCUCCUUCUCUUCUUUCCCCCUAUCUCUAUCUCUUAGUCCCAUUCAGUUUUGCAAAAGAGCUCUCUCUGUUUCCUAGUAUCUAUCUUUUAUUUGGUUCUUUGCUUAUAUUUUGGGUUUUUAAAUAAAAUAAACCAUACGAUAUUUAAA